CAGAGGCCCCAAGCGUUACUGAGAAUCACUGGGUUUAAAGGGUGCGUAGGUGGUCCGUUAAGUUCGUUGUGAAAGCCCUGGGCUCAACCCAGGAACUGCUUCGAAUACUGGCGGACUUGAGGCUAGUAUGGGUCACUGGAACUGACGGUGGAGCGGUGAAAUGCGUAGAUAUCGUCAGGAACGCCAAUGGUGAAGACAGGUGACUGGGCUAGAUCUGACACUGAGGCACGAAAGCGUGGGGAGCGAACGGGAUUAGAUACCCCGGUAGUCCACGCCCUAAACGAUGCAGACUAGACUGCAGCGGGUUACACCCCGUUGCGGUCGGAGCGAAAUUGUUAAGUCUGCCACCUGGGAAGUACGGUCGCAAGGCUA
rnacentral:rRNA from 1 species